AACGAACGUUGGCGGCAUGCCUAACACAUGCAAGUCGAACGAGACCUUCGGGUCUAGUGGCGCACGGGUGCGUAACGCGUGGGAAUCUGCCCUUGGGUUCGGAAUAACAGUUGGAAACGACUGCUAAUACCGGAUGAUGUCUUCGGACCAAAGAUUUAUCGCCCAGGGAUGAGCCCGCGUAGGAUUAGCUUGUUGGUGAGGUAAAGGCUCACCAAGGCGACGAUCCUUAGCUGGUCUGAGAGGAUGAUCAGCCACACUGGGACUGAGACACGGCCCAGACUCCUACGGGAGGUAGCAGUGGGGAAUAUUGGACAAUGGGCGAAAGCCUGAUCCAGCAAUGCCGCGUGAGUGGUGAAGGCCUUAGGGUUGUAAAGCUCUUUUACCCGGGAUGAUAAUGACAGUACCGGGAGAAUAAGCCCCGGCUAACUCCGUGCCAGCAGCCGCGGUAAAAC
rnacentral:rRNA from 1 species